GACGAACGCUGGCGGCGUGCUUAACACAUGCAAGUCGAACGGAAAGGCCCUGCUUUUGUGGGGUGCUCGAGUGGCGAACGUGUGAGUAACACGUUAGUAACCUGCCCUUGACUUUGGGAUAACUUCAGGAAACUGGGGCUAAUACCGGAUAUGAGCUCCUGCUGCAUGGUGGGGGUUGGAAAGUUUCGGCGGUUGGGGAUGGACUCGCGGCUUAUCAGCUUGUUGGUGGGGUAGUGGCUUACCAAGGCUUUGACGGGUAGCCGGCCUGAGAGGGUGACCGGCCACAUUGGGACUGAGAUACGGCCCAGAAUCCUACGGGAGGCAGCAGUGGGGAAUAUUGCACAAUGGGCGGAAGCCUGAUGCAGCAACGCCGCGUGCGGGAUGACGGCCUUCGGGUUGGAAACCGCUUUCGCCUGUGACGAAGCGUGAGUGACGGUAAUGGGUAAAGAAGCACCGGCUAACUACGUG
rnacentral:rRNA from 1 species